UAAGUAAAUUGCCUUAUCGCUUUGGUGCUGUCCCGAUAAUUAUCGGGAUUGUUUUAGCACUUGGGAGGAAAGUCCGAACACCAUAGUGCAUCAUAGUGGUUAACAGCCACCAAUCGUGAGAUUAGGAAAAGUGCAACAGAAAGAAUGUACAGGUUAAGCUGUAGUGAAAUCAGGUAAACUCUAUGUGGUGCAAUGCCAUGUAAACCAGCGUUUCGAUAGCUAUCGGGAGAGAGUGACACGCUCGAUGUUGGAGGGUAGGCAGCUAAAGUUUGCUGGUAACAGUAAACGUAGAUAAAUGAUAAGGAUGUUUUGAUUUCAAGAAGGAGAAAUCCUGAAAUGAAUUCAGGAUAUACAGAAUUCGGCUUAUAGAUUUGCUUAAUAA
rnacentral:RNase_P_RNA from 1 species